AUUGAACGCUGGCGGCAUGCCUUACACAUGCAAGUCGAACGGCAGCACGGGUGCUUGCACCUGGUGGCGAGCGGCGAACGGGUGAGUAAUACAUCGGAACAUGUCCUGUAGUGGGGGAUAGCCCGGCGAAAGCCGGAUUAAUACCGCAUACGAUCCACGGAUGAAAGCGGGGGACCUUCGGGCCUCGCGCUAUAGGGUUGGCCGAUGGCUGAUUAGCUAGUUGGUGGGGUAAAGGCCUACCAAGGCGACGAUCAGUAGCUGGUCUGAGAGGACGACCAGCCACACUGGGACUGAGACACGGCCCAGACUCCUACGGGAGGCAGCAGUGGGGAAUUUUGGACAAUGGGCGAAAGCCUGAUCCAGUAAUGCCGCGUGUGUGAAGAAGGCCUUCGGGUUGUAAAGCACUUUUGUCCGGAAAGAAAUCCUUGACUCUAAUACAGUCGGGGGAUGACGGUACCGGAAGAAUAAGCACCGGCUAACUACGUG
rnacentral:rRNA from 1 species